rnacentral:lncRNA from 1 species
UUAAGGUUACUCGAUAAAAAUUUCUUCCUUGAACCAAACUGAAACUGAUCCUAAGGUAUAUAUGCAUCACUAUUUCGUUCUUUCAACUUCACAAAAUAUGUUACAUAAAUGUAAGAUUCCAAGGUAUAUAUGCAUCAAUCAGAUUCUACUUGGUUUGUAGCAAACUAUAUAAUGUUUAAGUCAGUUUCAUAUAAAACAUUGCUCUAUCUGAACAAGAUAAUUGAUUUCAAUAUACAAACUAUAGACAAAAAUUUUGAAAAGAAAAAUGGGUAUUUAGU